CAACCCUCGAACUCAGUUCGGUGUUGGGGAACGACACUAGUCGUCCCUUAAAUAGAGUGGCGGUCUCGCUGUAGCUCCUCUGCGCAGUACUUUAACCUCGCAGUAAGAGAGCAGCGCGGCUACGCCGUUAAACUCCCAACUUUUAUA
rnacentral:misc_RNA from 1 species